rnacentral:rRNA from 1 species
GACGAACGCUGGCGGCGUGCUUAACACAUGCAAGUCGAACGGAAAGGCCCUGCUUUUGUGGGGUGCUCGAGUGGCGAACGGGUGAGUAACACGUGAGUAACCUGCCCUUGACUUUGGGAUAACUUCAGGAAACUGGGGCUAAUACCGGAUAGGAGCUCCUGCUGCAUGGUGGGGGUUGGAAAGUUUCGGCGGUUGGGGAUGGACUCGCGGCUUAUCAGCUUGUUGGUGGGGUAGUGGCUUACCAAGGCUUUGACGGGUAGCCGGCCUGAGAGGGUGACCGGCAACAUGGGAAUGGGGGAACGGCCCGGACCCUACGGGAGGCAGCAGUGGGGAAUAUUGCACAAUGGGCGGAAGCCUGAUGCAGCAACGCCGCGUGCGGGAUGACGGCCUUCGGGUUGUAAACCGCUUUCGCCUGUGACGAAGCGUGAGUGACGGUAAUGGGUAAAGAAGCACCGGCUAACUACGUG